CGGAGGGGCGUAGCGUUGUUCGGAAUUACUGGGCGUAAAGACGCACGUAGGCGGAUUGGAAAGUUAGGGGUGGAAAUACCCACGGGCUCAACCCUCGGAACUGCCUUCAAAACUACCCAGUCUGGAGGUCGAGAGAGGUGAGUGGAAUUCCGAGUGUAGAGGUGAAAUUCGUAGAUAUUCGGAGGAACACCAGUGGCGAAGGCGGCUCACUGGCUCGAUACUGACGCUGAGGUGCGAAAGCGUGGGGAGCAAACAGGAUU
rnacentral:rRNA from 1 species